rnacentral:lncRNA from 10 species
CAGGGUCCCGUUCGGUUUCCAGCUGCAGAACAGGGCUCUGUGCACACGGGGGCGCCCUGCUCCCGUGUCGGUGUCUCUAAAUCCUGGAGUACAGAUGUUUCCUCCCAGUUACUGGCGGUGGAGUCUGAUCUCAAGGCAGAGGGAGGUCUGCAGGCCCUAAGAUCUGGUUCCCAGGGAGGAAGAUACCUCCUCGCCGGAAUCCACUAGUUGAUCCUCCAACCCUACUUUGGAGGGACCCAGGAAGGACAUGGCGUUGGAGCUGGACCCAGGAAGAACAUGGCGUCGGAGCUGUAACUAUAUUGGGUUACAAGGAUGUCUGGGAUCAGACUGGGCAGAGCAUUUGUCCCCAAUCCGUCGGUUACCGGAGGGAGGUCCCUCCGCGACUCCCCGGACCUCCAGGACCCAGGCAUCGGAACCCACACCCUCCUGGAGCGGACCCUUCCCAGCCCCAGUCCAGGACCCCGAGUCCCGCCCCUUCUUCCCCUUUGCGACCUAAGCAGACAGGACCUGCUGUCUACAUCUCUUAGGCCUCGUCCCCUGCCAUCUCCAUUCCCUGAUUAAAGGUUCUUGAUCCCGGAACCAAAUCUAAUUUCUGGUCUCGUCUAUUGUCCGCGACGAUCACCGACCAGGAGAGGCUCCCCAGCCCCAAACAGGCUGCGGCUGAGCGACAGCGGCGGAUUUUGGCGCUUUGGCCCAGACUCUCUCGUCGAAGCACCCCGCGACCCCUGCCUGGAGGCUGCGCAGGCAGCUGGGGGUCGGGCUUCGUCUGGGGCCUCGCAGGAGGAGCGGGGUCUGCAGCAGGAGGGGGCCCGCUGGGAUUUCUGCCACUGAGGCUGCACUCGCCGCCCUGGGAGAUUUCUCCCUCUGCGCUGAGGAUCUCACUGUGCACCUCCAGCCCUGGGUCCUGGUGGGCUCUGGUGGCCACUGGAGUCCUUGGAGCUGCCUCCCUCUGGCUCUGCUGGGGUUGGAUUCAGGAGUUGAGGUCAUCCCCAGCAGGAGCAACUAGGGCCACUGGAGGAUCCCCAAGGACACAGAUUCUGGAUUCAAGAUCCCCUCCAACAGUGAAAGCCAUUUUCGUGGGCCCUGGGCCCAGGAUACUCCAACCUGGUCGCAUACCCCUUGGGAUUUCCCAGCAGCGGGCUGCAGAAUAUAACGUCCAGGAGUGGGGUGUCCUCUCUCUCCGGGCUCUUGGAAGACGCUGCUCCGCCUUUGAUCACCUGGAUUUUUAACUAUUCGAAUCUAGCUGAAGAUCUGUGUAGCCUGGGCAAGCCUCUGCAGAACCCUGGGCUUCAGUUUCCUUCUCUGGGCACUGGGGUGAUCACAGGGUCUCCCUGACCAAACCUACAAAUGGAAAGUUCUCCCGGAAAGCUCUUUGUAACCACAGACGGUGAUGCAAUGUAAACCCUUAGAAUGACCUCCUAGGAUCUAGCCGUAAACCCUGUUCAAAUGCCACACUUCAUCCUUAGUUCUGUCCCUUCUGGAAUUCUUCAGCGAAAGAAGCCUGAGUAGGGAUCAGUGGAGCAGGAGGAGGAAGGGAGGGGCUGGGAAGAAGAGAGCCAGGCGGGGAGCAGAGCGCGGCGGGGGUGGUCCGUGACUCACGCGUGGCAGGGCUCACCAUCGCCUCCAGGCUGCGCGCCUGCGGCCGGGUCUCCUCCCAGGUUCCCAGCCUGUUCCUU